UUAUCUUACGCUUACGGCGCACGAACCAGAAGCAUGGACGAAAAGCAACUUUUUGCAACUCUCCUUUUCGUCGCCUGUGUAUCAAGAUUGGAAUGUAAAUGGCCGCUCCAGAGAAACCAUUGGGACAUAAAACAGUUUGUAAAAACACCAGAACCGAUAUGGACUUACGCUACAAGUCAAACGACGAACAUCAUUUGUAAAAAGGACAUCAAGCAGGUUAUGACUUUCCGCUUCAUCGUAUUCUAUAGAUCGUAUUACUACAACCGGCAAAAGCUAACUUUCAGGCUUGAGGGCGACUUUGAUCCCAAGCGAAAAGAACGUAUGGCCAUCAUUUCUAAAGGUAAGGCAAUUAUUCAGUGCUAGUUGGGAAUCAUCACAUACGUAGCAAGACAUCCAACCAAUUACGAAAGUUUCCAUGCAUUGCUGAAACGUUGGGAGUUCCCACACCGGUGAUUUUCUUUACAAGAGCAUGACGCUGUAUGUUAACAGCGCUUUUUAAAAACUCGGACAGACUUAAAUGUUACAUGUAACGCCGUUUUAAUACUUUUUGAAGAGCGCCUCACCAGUCACCGCUGUACAUUAUGUUUAUUCCGUGGCAGUUGUGAGGUGUCGUCUGGCAAGCAUUUCGUGGAAAGUUCAAAGUCGGUUGAUUACUGACCAUGUUAGUGGACCCGGAACUGAUUUUUGCU